rnacentral:lncRNA from 1 species
CCUGUGAGGCCCGGGGAUCCGAGCAGCCUCUUCACUGACCGGCUUCAGGCCACUGGGUUCCACAAUUGCAUCAGUGAUCCGAACAGCCUGUCUCCUCAGUGCCAAACAGCUGGACACUUAGAGAGGGGAGGCCAUUCAUGUCCAGACAUACAGGGUCUUGGUGAUAUUCCUUUGAAAAUAUCAGCUGAGGAACAGGAAGGCACAGACAUUUGCCCAAGCUCUGGGGGUGCAGGGAGCCAGAUGCAGUAAGUGUCUGAGAGUGAGCGCGUGCUGACGAGGACCCAGGCAGAGCCCCUGGAGGAAAAUUUCAACCAUGGAGAAGGCUGUCUUUUGAGUCCCGCGACUGGUGAAGUCGGACCCCAAUGUCAGCACCCAGGCUGCCCUGCUGCAUCCUCAUUGCCAGCCACGGGGACUGCUCUGCAUUCUGCUCUCAAUUCCAAAAGUUGUUGGGGCAGGCAAGCAACGGCAAGUCACCUCAGCUGGCCGCCACGGCACAACCUGCUGGCCCCGCCGCCUCGCUUCCUCUGCUGUGACUCUUGCCCAGGAAAUACUUCAGGUACAUCUGGAAACGCAGUGAAAACACUUGGCGUGGACACCAUGUGAAAAGUCAGCGCGGCGCAGGCGGCUGGGAGGCGCAGGGUGGGGGGCCCCGCCGCCUUCCCUCCUGCUCCUGCGCACUCUCUCUUCUUUUACAGAGAGCGUUAUUGUUCCAGCUGCCCCCCCACCCCCACAACCCCGGCUCUCUCCGUGUUACAAAUUAAAAUCUAUACUCACCAAAUAUGCAUUUAAUUCUAUUUUACUCAGGUAAUUAUUAUAAAAUUGCAUUGUUACUGGAAACGUAUUUUAAGAUUUUAAUAACCAUGAAGGAGAUUUAUAGCUAU